UGGCUUACAAACAGUUCAUCAGACAGAGU
rnacentral:piRNA from 1 species